UACGGGGGGAGCAAGCGUUGUUCGGAUUUACUGGGCGUGAAGGGCGCGUAGGCGGUAGCACAAGUCAGUUGUGAAAUCUCCGGGCUUAACUCGGAAAGGUCAACUGAUACUGUGCGACUAGAGUGCAGAAGGGGCAACUGGAAUUCUCGGUGUAGCGGUGAAAUGCGUAGAUAUCGAGAGGAACACCUGCGGCGAAGGCGGGUUGCUGGGCUGACACUGACGCUGAGGCGCGAAAGCCAGGGGAGCGAUCCGG
rnacentral:rRNA from 1 species